CUCCUCUCACCAAUCCUAACAACACCCUUCUUUGCUAAGGGCAGGAGUUGAUUCUGACAAAGAUGAAGUUGGACGAUAAAGUUGUUGAUUUUAUGAUGGUUCUGUGUUGUAGAAUUCUAUCAUAAGUUGGUUGAAAGAAGAGUAAUCCUUACUUGUUGAUCUCAGUUGUUGUCGGAGAAGGAUUAUCGAGGCUUUCUUCCCUUUCUCAUCUUCUUCUUAUACUGCUUGCUCUUGGCCAAAAAGUUGUCUGAGAUUAGAUAGCUAAGAAGC
rnacentral:lncRNA from 1 species